UAUGUAGGUGGCAAGCGUUUGUCCGGAAUACUGGGCGUAAAGCGUGCGCAGGCGGUUUUGUAAGUCUGUCGUGAAAUCCCCGGGCUCAACCUGGGAAUUGCGAUGGAGACUGCAAGGCUAGAAUCUGGCAGAGGGGGGUAGAAUUCCACGUGUAGCAGUGAAAUGCGUAGAGAUGUGGAGGAACACCGAUGGCGAAGGCAGCCCCCUGGGUCAAGAUUGACGCUCAUGCACGAA
rnacentral:rRNA from 1 species